UACGUAGGGUGCGAGCGUUGUCCGGAAUUAUUGGGUGUAAAGGGCUCGUAGGCGGUUUGUCGCGUCGGGAGUGAAAUCCACUGGCUUAACUGGUGGCUUGCUUUCGAUACGGGCAGACUGGAGGUAUGCAGGGGAGAACGGAAUUCCUGGUGUAGCGGUGAAAUGCGCAGAUAUCAGGAGGAACACCGGUGACGAAGGCGGUUCUCUGGGCAUGUCCUGACGCUGAGGAGCGAAAGUGUGGGGAGCGAACAGG
rnacentral:rRNA from 1 species